AACGAACGCUGGCGGCAUGCCUAACACAUGCAAGUCGAACGAGACCUUCGGGUCUAGUGGCGCACGGGUGCGUAACGCGUGGGAACCUGCCCUUAGGUUCGGAAUGACUCCCCGAAAGGGGUGCUAAUACCGGAUAAUGUCUUCGGACCAAAGAUUUAUCGCCUUUGGAUGGGCCCGCGUUGGAUUAGCUAGUUGGUAGGGUAAAAGCCUACCAAGGCGACGAUCCAUAGCUGGUCUGAGAGGAUGAUCAGCCACACUGGGACUGAGACACGGCCCAGACUCCUACGGGAGGCAGCAGUGGGGAAUAUUGGACAAUGGGCGAAAGCCUGAUCCAGCAAUGCCGCGUGAGUGAUGAAGGCCUUAGGGUUGUAAAGCUCUUUUACCCGGGAUGAUAAUGACAGUACCGGGAGAAUAAGCUCCGGCUAACUCCGUA
rnacentral:rRNA from 1 species